UUUCCGUAGGUGAACCUGCGGAAGGAUCAUUAUCGUAUAACCAUGGACAGAUGUAUGUAGCUGACCUGAAAGGUCGUGCACGCCCGACUGUCCUUACACACAUCGAUCGUACCCCUAUGUACACCACCUCGUCUGUCCCCCUCUGCCUUGUUCGGCGUGGGGUUUACGUUUUCACUCAAACUUUCUUUUCAGUGUUGAAUGUAUUUUUUGUUUUUGCAAUUACCCUAUCUAUCCCACUUUCCACAACGUAUCUCUUGUCUCUCGCCUCGAAGAAAAGCG
rnacentral:misc_RNA from 1 species